ensembl:lncRNA
AUUCUUUGAAUCACUGAAUGACUAAAAUGUGAUCCCUCCACUUGGACCCACACAGUUUAAAAAGUUUACAUCUCUGAGCUUUGAAAGACAAGAUGUUGGAAAAAGAACAACGAUGGCGACGUUUUGAGGGUAAAAUGAUGGCUUUAACACUGUGGACACAGCAGCAGUUGAAAGAGAAGUGUUUAAGAUUAAUUUUGGCAGAGUGGCAGAGAGAGCUCGUUAAGCAGGCAGGUGUGAGCCUGGUUGCUAUAGUGACCGCACCCAAUGGCUCCAUACACACGGACACAGACAUGCACCUCACUUUUGCUGCUUAAAAUGAACAGAAAAGUCAGGCCGAAACAAAUCGUUCCCAAAUGAAAAGUAAAAGUCGUAUUGACAAAAUUCUUUCACUGUGAG